GCAUAUCAAUAAGCGGAGGAAAAGAAACCAACAGGGAUUGCCUCAGUAACGGCGAGUGAAGCGGCAAAAGCUCAAAUUUGAAAUCUAGCACCUUCGGUGUUUGAGUUGUAAUUUGAAGAUGGUAACCUUGGGUUUGGCUCUUGUCUAUGUUCCUUGGAACAGGACGUCAUAGAGGGUGAGAAUCCCGUAUGAUGAGAUGCCCAUUCCUAUGUAAGGUGCUAUCGAAGAGUCGAGUUGUUUGGGAAUGCAGCUCUAAGUGGGUGGUAAAUUCCAUCUAAAGCUAAAUAUUGGCGAGAGACCGAUAGCGAACAAGUACAGUGAUGGAAAGAUGAAAAGAACUUUGAAAAGAGAGUGAAAAAGUACGUGAAAUUGUUGAAAGGGAAGGGCAUUAGAUCAGACUUGGUGUUUUACGAUUAUCUUCUCUUCUUGAGUUGUGCACUCGUAUUUCACUGGGCCAGCAUCGAUUCGGAUGGCAAGAUAAUGGCAGUUGAAUGUGGCUUCACUUCGGUGGAGUGUUAUAGCUUCUGCUGAUAUUGCCUGUCUGGAUCGAGGGCUGCGUCUUUUGACUAGGAUGCUGGCGUAAUGAUCUAAUGCCGCCCGUCUUGAAACACGGACC
rnacentral:rRNA from 1 species